ACCGCCUGGUUGGAAUUAUAAUUUUUAAACAAGCGUCUUUGCUUUCCUCAAUUACUAAGAAUUUUGAACUUUCCUUAAAGACCGAUGCUAAUAACAUGCUCAUUCUGCUUUCCUGCAUUUUUUUCUGUUACACAUUAAUUGGUGUAAUGCUAUUCUGUUUUCUUUAUUAGUGUUCGCUGCAAUUCCCACCUGACAUCUCUUUUCUAUAUUUACGAUAUUCCCUACAACGCCUGUCAUGACUAAUCGUAGACGUUCUGUCAGCAACAACCCUACUCUAGCUGAUUACGUCAUGUAAAUAGAUGACACUACAGCACUACUUAUUCCAAUAAUUCGUUACUAUAUUCGUAAAUUACGUCAUGGGCAGCAGCGAUAUGCUGGAAAGCAAGCAAUAACACGACUGCCGCACAAGAAACGUUUCAAACAUCACAGUGAAAGGCUGCUUUUAUUGUUGUUGUUGUUGAGUUACAUUCUUAAAUAGAUAUUCGGCUUGAGAUAAAAUGUUCAAAAGUAAAUCUUAUAAAGUUAACGGCGGUAAUCAUCCGAUUCACGACCUGCCCGCGCUCGGUGUACCAAAAAGUGAAUUUAUGAAAGAUACCAGUUUUAAUUUUUUAGAAAACGAACGUUUACACAAUGCUUUUGAAAGACUCGAUUUGUACGAUAUUAACGCGUGUAAUGGUGAUUCGCUACAGCCGGAAAAAAUAAAAAGAG